AGCGAGUCGGAGUCUGUCAUAUCGACCAAUGGACGAUAGGAAAGGGUUCAGAUGCAUUGCACCCACAGACCAUCCAUUCUUUGAGAAACCAGAAGGCUGAAGCUCGUCUUUAAAAGCAAUCCGAUCCGUGCAAUUCGGGAAGUUGCCGGAAGAGCAAGAUCAUCCGGACGCCAGAUCGGUUCUCUUCAUUUUAUUAUAGCAUCGUAUUUCUUCACAUUGGUGUGAACACUACAAAUGAGGUGUUUAUUUCAGCAAUACGUCGGGGUGUCUUACACAGCGCAAGAUUCGAGUGACAAAGGUCAUGCAUAUUUCUGGACUUAUUCGGCUGUGUUUGACGUCCAAUUACAGAUUAUCCCGCUCAGAUGAACUAAGUGCUAUAGGGAAGUUUCUACAAGCGUGGCUCAUAAUAAAUUGAGAAUGCUAUGGGGCCGUGAUGGCUGGAAAUGAUACGGUUAACGCGCGAAAGACCAUUCGUCCACAGGCAACCCGCAAUUACUGGAAAACACGAAGGGGUCGCGUUCCAGUGGUACCCCAGAGUACCCUAAAUCAAACAUUAUUGGUGCGUGCGCUCAAAAACAAUAUUUAUUAAUUCAUUUAUAUUACUCAAUAAUUUCUCUUAUCCACAGAUCGAUUCCAUUAGAAAAAGAGUUCUUACAUGCUAGCAAUUUAUGCGUUCCGUGAAAAAGUAGCAGCUUUUCUUUAGUACAUAGUCAAAAUAAUAUCGAGUUCCUAAUUGGUUAUGUUUCAUUUUGGAUAAUAGUAAAAUAUUCUAAAGCAAAGGCAUAACGUGAUAGUUUUUCAUUUUGAAUUGAUGUUCGGCAUUUCUCUAGUGACAGUGCGAAAAUUGUUAUGUUUUUGCAUUCAAGAUUCCCAAAAGUUUUAGAGGCUACUAGCUUCUAUCUCUUUUUGGUAACAACUGAAAUAUAUUGAGAGUUCGGCUAGUGCUACCCAACGUUUUUUGUUACCGUCCAAAGUCCAACUUACACACUCACAUACAGCCAAGAAGACACAUAGCUGCGUCUCCUUCCCAUUAUACUAAGCCUUUUGCUCACAAGAAUAACAAGAGUCUUUGCAACUCGACUUUUGGUUUCAAGUGUUCGAGUUGACCUCAGGUACCCUGGGUAGCUUGAAUAUUAUUAUUUUUUGUAUAUGAUUUCCAUAUAGACCACUAUGAAGUUCGAAUUCUAUAAAAGAAGAUCCAUACUUCCCCACUAAGGGAGGGGCCCCUCUACCCCUUUUCUGGAAUCAAACAACUUGAUUUGACAUAGAACACUUCAAUUGUACACAUUUUGGCUCCCACUAAUUUUGCAUGCAUAACUAUAUCAAACAUGUGCAGAUAGAAUUCUAUUAUUGUGUUUUGAGCUUGAUGGUCUGGAUUCUCCAUGCAUGGAUCACAUAGCGCAGGCGAAUGAGCAGAAGAUCUUUACCCAUCUGCAACCAGCUCCACACGGGGAUCAUCUUAGAGCCUGAAAGCCAACAUAACAUAAUAAGCGAGAGUUGAGAAAAGGGACAUGUGAGGAUUAAAUUUGGACAGAACUGAUGUUUACUCAAACAUUUAUAUGGUAUAUUUAGACAUGGUUAAAAUCAUCAGUUACAGAAGUUAAAAAUAUAAAUAAAACAUUCAAUAACCUAUA